rnacentral:lncRNA from 1 species
GCCUUCUGUUUGAGAUGAACCAGAGUCACUAGAAUUCAGCAAGUGUGUACGACUGUCAUUCAGUUUUGCUGGCAGAUUCCCUGCACAAGCCAGUUCAUUUUCUUUAUUUGCCAUGUUACAGCCCCUUGAUUUAGGGAACUGUUUCCUCUUAUAACAAGGCUUUGCAGUGUAACAAUGGACUUUUCUUUUGCAAUGUACUGCUUUGAAGAGAGACAGGGGACUGGUCACCGUUUUUCCAACUGUUAUUCUGUUUGUGUAUGAAGCCAGCUGUUUUGGAGCUUUCUUAUCCUCCUUCAUGAUCUUUUUAGUGGAAGAAGAGAUUGCUUUUCUGGGGAGAUCAACAGGACGACCUUCAAUAUGCAAUACUUUCUGUUUUUUAGCAUUGUGAGCCUCAGAUGCCAUAAUCUCUCAAAUCCCUGCCGCUCAUGGU